UUUGUAGAUGAUUUAUUUGAUGCUGUACCGUAUCGCUGAAGCUAAACCACUUUGUUGCCUCUACAACUGCAGUCAAAUUGGGAUCUGGCAUUUUCUGAUAUUAUUACCGUUCGUAAUCACCGCCGCCAUGCACCACUUCCAACACGUUUCUAACGCGUGUACUAGUCGACAUAUCUGUCAUAGUGAUUUCAACAUCCUCCGUAUUAUCAUUGAGUUUGGAUUUCUCCAACUGCUUGCGAGGACGUUGUAUCUAAAAAUUAAAAACAAAAAACAAAUAUAUACAUAUAUACAAUGCAGUUUCUUAUUCUAAUAAAAAAAAACGUAUUUUAACAAGUA